rnacentral:rRNA from 1 species
GAUGAACGCUGGCGGCGUGCCUAAUACAUGCAAGUCGAACGCUGGAAAUCUAGCUUGCUAGAUUGAAGGAGUGGCGAACGGGUGAGUAAUACAUAAGCAACCUACCCACGAAGACUGGGAUAAUUUCUGGAAACGGGGACUAAUACCGGAUAGGUAAUCGGACGGCAUCUUCUGCUUAUUAAAGGUUAAAAACACUGGUGGAUGGGCUUAUGGCGCAUUAGUUAGUUGGGGAGGUAACGGCCCACCAAGACGAUGAUGCGUAGCCGGCCUGAGAGGGUGAACGGCCACAUUGGGACUGGGACACGGCCCAGACUCCUACGGGAGGCAGCAGUAGGGAAUUUUCGGCAAUGGGGGAAACCCUGACCGAGCAACGCCGCGUGAGUGAUGACGGCCUUCGGGUUGUAAAGCUCUGUUGUAAGGGAAGAACGGUAGAUAGAGAAUAUCUAAAUGACGGUACCUUACCAGAAAGCCACGGCUAACUACGUG